rnacentral:rRNA from 1 species
CCUACGGGAGGCAGCAGUAGGGAAUAUUGCACAAUGGAGGAAACUCUGAUGCAGCCAUGCCGCGUGUGUGAAGAAGGCCUUCGGGUUGUAAAGCACUUUCGGAGGGGAGGAAGAAAAUGACGUUACCCUCAGAAGAAGCACCGGCUAACUCCGUGCCAGCAGCCGCGGUAAUACGGAGGGUGCAAGCGUUAAUCGGAAUAACUGGGCGUAAAGGGCAUGCAGGCGGUUCAUCAAGUAGGAUGUGAAAUCCCCGGGCUCAACCUGGGAACAGCAUACUAAACUGGUGGACUAGAGUAUUGCAGGGGGAGACGGAAUUCCAGGUGUAGCGGUGGAAUGCGUAGAUAUCUGGAAGAACACCAAAGGCGAAGGCAGUCUCCUGGGCAAAUACUGACGCUCAUAUGCGAAAGCGUGGGUAGCAAACAGGAUUAGAUACCCCAG